UAGGGAAUCUUCCGCAAUGGACGAAAGUCUGACGGAGCAACGCCGCGUGAGCGAUGAAGGCCUUCGGGUCGUAAAGCUCUGUUGUCAGGGAAGAACAAGUAUCGGAGUAACUGCCGGUACCUUGACGGUACCUGACCAGAAAGCCACGGCUAACUCCGUG
rnacentral:rRNA from 1 species